GACGAACGCUGGCGGCGUGCUUAACACAUGCAAGUCGAACGGAAAGGCCCUGCUUUUGUGGGGUGCUCGAGUGGCGAACGGGUGAGUAACACGUGAGUAACCUGCCCUUGACUUUGGGAUAACUUCAGGAAACUGGGGCUAAUACCGGAUAGGAGCUCCUGCUGCAUGGUGGGGGUUGGAAAGUUUCGGCGGUUGGGGAUGGACUCGCGGCUUAUCAGCUUGUUGGUGGGGUAGUGGCUUACCAAGGCUUUGACGGGUAGCCGGCCUGGGAGGGUGACCGGGGCCAUUGGGGAUAGGGAAGGGGCCAAGACGCACAGGGGGGGAAGGGGGGGGAAAAUUGGCAAGAGGGGCGGAGGGCUGAAGGAGAACCCCCGGGGGGGGAAAGACGGCUUUGGGGGGGUAACCCCUUUUCGCGUGGGACGAAGCGUGGGGGAGGGAAAUGGUAAAAGAAGCACGGGCAAAUAAGUG
rnacentral:rRNA from 1 species